rnacentral:rRNA from 1 species
UACGAAGGGUGCAAGCGUUAAUCGGAAUUACUGGGCGUAAAGCGCACGUAGGCGGCUUGGUAAGUUAGAGGUGAAAGCCCGGGGCUCAACUCCGGAAUUGCCUUUAAGACUGCAUCGCUAGAAUUGUGGAGAGGUAAGUGGAAUUCCGAGUGUAGAGGUGAAAUUCGUAGAUAUUCGGAAGAACACCAGUGGCGAAGGCGACUUACUGGACACAUAUUGACGCUGAGGUGCGAAAGCGUGGGGAGCAAACAGG